GAAUAGAAGCUUCGAACCGAAGUCGUUGCUCGGCAACGGCGGUGCCGAAAAACAGAAUAUUACCGAAAUUUCAGCUUCCGAAGUCUUCGAAGUGGCGUUGAAUCAAUGGAGAUAGCUGGCGAAGACGGUUCAAAGUUAGUUCCACGAGAGCCAGUGACGAUUUUCGGAAGAGGCUCAGGUUUUGCUUGCAAAGAUCGAACAGUUUCUCGUCGUCACAUUUUAAUCGAAGCUAAAACCUCAGAGAACAGUAAUGGAGUUCCCAUGGAGCCUAGGGUUUCCUUCGAGGUUAUCGGAAAGAAUCCUAUUUGGGUUCGGAGUGGAAAAAAUGGCGAAAUCAGAACAUUUAGAUGUUCGGAAAAGGGCGAGAUGGUGCCUGGCGAAUCGUUCUGCAUGGGCGGGCAGGAACUGAUGUGGUUCGAAUUAAACAAAAUCGGUGAAUUCGAAGAAGGGGAGAAAAUUUGUUCGCGUUCUUCUGAUUCGGAGGAUAUCGAUGUUUCUGGCAUUGAUCCUGUCAAAGAAUUUGGUUUCCUUGCCAAAGGACACGAGUUCGAAUGCUAUGGCAAUCGAGUGAUUCGUGAUGCAAAAAAGUGGGACUGGUUUUUGGAUGAGCCGAGAAAAGACAGUGACGACGACGAAGAUUAUGGAAGGAAACAGAAGAGCAGAGUAAGGGGAAAGAGGAAAAAAGGAGCAAACAAUGACGAUGAAGAUUGGACGGAUGAGAAUGAAGAUGCUGUGGGAAUGAUUACAAAAACAAAGAAGUUUCAAAGACCCAAAUACUCCACAAGGUCAAAAGACAGCAAUAAAACUCACAAGGAUCAAAAGAAGGCUGCUAAAUCUAGUAAAGACUAUGUUGAAGAAGAUGAAGAUGAUGAAACUUUAGGAGGUUUUAUUGUAGAUGAUGAAGUAGAUAAUGAGGAAUUGAUGAAUGAAGAUGAAGACGAAGAAGAAUUUUCGGAUGACGAGGAGGACGAUUGAUAUUGAUGACGAUCGAUGAAGCUAAUGGCUUUGGUCAGGCUGCUGCUAACAUAGGCUUGUCCUAGAGAGGUUGAAAAUCAUUUUCAGUUUCUUUUCCAGUGGUGGAUUGGAUUGUUUUUUAUGUCGAACAAUUGGAAGGCCUCCUUGUUAUCGAGGAGGCCACCAUAUUGUGACUGAUAGUUUUGCACGGUUGGAAGAAUGCGAGAGAAACCAUUAACGUACCUCGAAUUAUAUCUAAUAGUUAUUAGGCGUAUACAAAUUCAUCCGAUAGUCAUUAAUGUGGUAGCCUCAUUGCAUCUCAUCUCCUUUAUAGGCUUCAUUCCCAAACCCUAAACCCAUUUAUCUGAAGUCCUGUUGUUUUCCCCUUUAUAUAGUGUCUCUUACUGUUGUUUGUAUUUCUUUCUUAGCAUUAGUUCUUUAGGAAAUGGAGGGAAAGUCUGCAUC